rfam:Dipodomys ordii contig_15475, whole genome shotgun sequence.
GGUGGCUCAGUGGGAGAGUGCUUGCCUUGCAUGCAUGAGGCCCUGGGUUCAAUUCCUCAGCACCA